UAGGGAAUCUUCGGCAAUGGACGGAAGUCUGACCGAGCAACGCCGCGUGAGUGAAGAAGGUUUUCGGAUCGUAAAGCUCUGUUGUAAGAGAAGAACGAGUGUGAGAGUGGAAAGUUCACACUGUGACGGUAUCUUACCAGAAAGGGACGGCUAACUACGUGCCAGCAGCCGCGGUAAUACGUAGGUCCCGAGCGUUGUCCGGAUUUAUUGGGCGUAAAGCGAGCGCAGGCGGUUAGAUAAGUCUGAAGUUAAAGGCUGUGGCUUAACCAUAGUAGGCUUUGGAAACUGUUUAACUUGAGUGCAAGAGGGGAGAGUGGAAUUCCAUGUGUAGCGGUGAAAUGCGUAGAUAUAUGGAGGAACAUCGGUGGCGAAAGCGGCUCUCUGGCUUGUAACUGACGCUGAGGCUCGAAAGCGUGGGGAGCAAACAGGAUUAGAUACCCUGGUAGUCCACGCUGUAAACGAUGAGUGCUAGGUGUUAGACCCUUUCCGGGGUUUAGUGCCGUAGCUAACGCAUUAAGCACUCCGCCUGGGGAGUACGACCGCAAGGUUG
rnacentral:rRNA from 1 species